rnacentral:miRNA from 1 species
GUAUGUGUGUGUGUGUGUGUGUGUGUGUCUAUAUAUAUAUAUAAAUAUAUGUAUGUAUGUAUGUAUGUAUGUAUGUAUGUAUGUAUGUCUAUAUAUAUAUACAUAUAUAUACACACACACACACACACACACACACAU